rnacentral:rRNA from 1 species
CGACCUCAGAUCAGGUAGGAGUACCCGCUGAACUUAAGC